rnacentral:tRNA from 1 species
AAAUAAGAAACAAUGAAUUGUAAUUAGUUUCGACCUAAUCUUUAGAUGAUAUUAUCAUCCUUAUUUU